rnacentral:rRNA from 1 species
UACAGAGGUGGCAAGCGUUGUUCGGAAUUACUGGGCGUAAAGGGCGCGUAGGCGGGCGGCCAAGUCAGGGGUGAAAGCCCCCAGCUCAACUGGGGAAGUGCCUCUGAUACUGGUCAUCUCGAGGGAGAUAGGGGCGUGCGGAACUUCCGGUGGAGCGGUGAAAUGCGUAGAUAUCGGAAGGAACACCGGUGGCGAAAGCGGCGCGCUGGAUCUCUUCUGACGCUGAGGCGCGAAAGCCAGGGGAGCGAACGGG